rnacentral:lncRNA from 1 species
UAUGGGCAUGAUAUUUAUAUGCGGUACCUGGCUAGGAGUACCUGCAAGAUAGUCCAGAUUCUGAAUAAAACUUGGGUAGUUUUAAAAGAGAAAGUUUCAGUAGCAUAGAAAGACUAUAGAUGAUAGUUACCAAACUUUUCGGAGAGCCAAAAAUUCCCUGUUUUUAACUCUUGGCUCCAGGACAGCCAUUUAGCAUGAUGACUUCGCCGCUGCCUUCUUCCCCUCCUGCCACUCCGUGCAGUAGUGUGCUUGCGCACACACAGUUUCAAGGGCUGCAGAGGAGAAGCAGAGCUUAUCAACAGUUACCUGUUAGGUUCACGACCUAUUUUUGCUUACGUCCAGUCCUCUUUUCUUUUGGGAAUGUGGACAUUUUUCUUUAGCUGCCAGAUCAUGAGAAAAUAUGACUGCUGAGAUUUUUUGCUAGGAUUCUUUUAAAAAAUAGAUCAGGCUCUGUACAUAGUAAAGAAAAACUCAUGAGGACUCCAGGUAGGUAAUUUACUUCUAUUGUAUGUAUAGUUUCUUUGAAGCCUCUGCACCUCUAUCCUGUUUUACAUUUCUGUAAAUCUGAUUUGACCGUUAAUAAACU